GUAACGAUACGUCUAGUAAGACUCACGCAUCUUAUAUAACAUUAGAGCCUGUUGAUUUGCAACCCUCUGCGAAUAAGAUAUCGAAAACACCGAAUUAUGAUACUAUACAAGAUGUACUCCUACCAAUGUCUUCGUUAUCUGCGCAAGGACCAAUAGUACAUUCUGAAACUGCUCAAGAAAAUGAUGGAAAUGAAGGCGCAUUCAUAACUGAAAUGUAUAACAAGGAAAGCCAUUUCCAACCCUUAUCAGGACGGCGAAUAAUUGAUAUAAAUUAUUUUUUACAAAAAUUCCAAGAAAAAGCACGCCACAAUGAUCUAUUUGAUUGUAAAU